rnacentral:lncRNA from 1 species
GGCCCCGGGCGCUCACUAGUCUACGCGAUACCUGUGCCCCGGAGGCUCGAGGCCAGCCGCUCAGGCACCCUUCCGGGCGGCGCUGGAGUCUGCUCUCCUCCAGGCUGGCCGCCCGCCGCCUCUCCAGCCCUAACCCUAACCCCAGCCCCCCACGGACUCCCGCACCCCAACCCCGGAGCCCCCCGCAGCCUAGCCGCAGCUCCCCCAGCCCCCGCACCCUAACCCCAAAGCCUCCAGCGCCCCACGGACCCUUGCACGCCUAACCCCAGAGCGCCCUGUACCCCUAACCCCAGGUCCCCAGCCCCCUGCACCCUUGCCCCAGAGCCCCCAGCCCCCCGCACCUUAACCCCAGGUCCCGCAGCUCCCCGCACACUUAACCUCAGGUCCCCCAUUCCCCCGCACCCCUAACCCAGGUCCUCCAGCCCUCCACACCCCUGGCCCAGAGCCCCCAGCCCGCCUCACCCUAACCCCAGGUCCCCCAGCCUCCCACACCUUAACCCAGGUCCUCCAGCCCCCACACCCUACACCCCAGCAUCCCCACCCUAAUCUCAGAGCUCCCCACACCCCUAACCCCAGGUCCCCAGCCCCCCUUAACCCCAGAGUCCCCAGCACCCCACACCCGAACCCCAGGUCCCCCAGCCCCCUGCACCCUAACUCCAGAACCCCCAGCCUCCCACACCUUAAGCCCAGGUCCCCCAGCACCUCGCACCCUAAGCCCUACCCACCCCCGCCCCACCCCAUCCCUGUUUCAGGGCUCACUUGGUUCUGGCCCAAGUGGUCCUGGCCAUCGUGCUCCUGCUGUCCUGGGGAGCAGGGUCUGGCAGGAUCAGGUGCAGAAGGGCCCGGAUGUGUGAAGCACAUUGUGUGCACUUUGUGAAGCAGCGGCCGGAGAAGAUGAGAGAGAAGGAGGAUAUUUUAAGGGGUUUCGGUUGCAGAAGUCCAGCCUACUUGGGGUGGCAGUUUGCCCCGCUGAUGGAUCCCAGCAUCUCCCACCCCCGCCGUGGUUCCUCCUUCACCUCUUUGAGCCCCGGGAGGAUGCUCUUCUGGUCAGGGCAGACCCCAGGCCGGAGUCCGCGGAGCCACUUGCCGGUAACUGGUCCUAGGAGCCUGUUGGACGCCCAGAGGCUGGUCAGCAUAGAAGCAGUAGAUGGCAUUCAUGGAGGCAGUGCCUGCCCACUGUCGCUCUGGCUCCACUUUUCAGCUGUGGGCAAAGGCGUCAGCCUCUCUGGACCUCAGUCUCCUCAUCUGUAGAGUGGUGACAAUAACGCCCAGGUGUCAACUUUGCCCCCUGUGUGUGAGGCCAGGAGCCGUUGCUGAGUGAGCCUCCAGGGUGGCUGACCCCUGUGCUGGGCACGGCUGACCUGUGUUGCCAAGAGGGUGAGGCAGAUGUGGUCACAUGAUGCCGCAGGCUCGGCCACAAACUGCUCUGCAGCCCCAUCUUGUUGUCCCUUGGGUCACUCACUAGGAAAGCUAAAUGAUUGGAGACCAGCUGUCUGCAAGCGCAGGAGGGAGGAACCAGCCCUGCCUGCCUUGGCAUCCAGGACAUCCAGCCUCCAGGAUGUGAGGGAACACGCUUCUGUGACCUGAGCCACGGUCCGUGGUGCUCCGUCACGGCAACCCUGGUGAACUGACACACGUGUUGUUACUACGUUAAGCCGUCCUGUUCCAGGACCCCUUGUCGGGCAGCAGGUGACCAGCACAGCUAUGAGCAGUGGUACUGAGUCAUGAGCACCAGGCCACACUGAGUCCUUCCUGUAGUUUGUCUCCCGAGAGCAUUGGUCCCCACAGCCUGGGUGCGGGCGACGCUGCUGUCCCCAUCUCGUGGCAUCUCAGGUACUAGCACUUAGGUCCAGCCGGGCUGGAAGGAGGGACAGGCCUUAGGGUCUCUGGGCCAUGCUGGCCUGAGUGCAAACAAAAGCAUUCGGCUCCCUGGCGGGGGCGCGGACCACAGCAGCAGAGACGGAUGGAUGGACAGGUCCUCUGUACUCUCAGCAGGCCCACCUGCUUGGGGAGAAGGAAUGCCACCUCUUCUGCUCAUCCUGCCCCUGGAGCUGAAGCCCUUAAGGGCAGAGAGCCCUGUAUCCUGCCGUGUCCCUGGUGACUGACACACAGCAGGGCCCAGUAUAGACUGGACUGCUUGCCCCGCUGAUUCCAGAGCCCGGCCUGGGUCGUGCCUUUAGAAUCAGAAGCCUGCAGACCUGGGGACUGCUGAGGGCAUUGGCCCACCCAGCUUCUGUCUGACCCCCACGCACACAGCCUGUGCGGGCGGGGGGGGGGCAGGGGGUCGAGGGGCGGACAGCAGCAGAGGGAAGUGGACUGGGCUAGGCUCUGGGAGCGCACUCAGGCCACACUCAGGGACGUUGUGAGUGACCCCGGGGGGGGCUGCCCAGGGCUGCUGAGAGAUGGUUUAUAGGCUACAGACUUGCCUAGAUUUCACCAGUGCCCCAGCCCCGGGGCUCCGGGUUGGAUAAACUACUCAAUCUUCCUAGGUGGUGCGGCCCCAGUGGCCGUUAGAGGGUUUAAUGAUGUGCAGCCCUCGGCCAAGGCCAUGUGGAAUCCGUGCUCAGUAACCGCCGCCACCGCUGGGACGCACAGAAACACUCGUAAACAAGCCAGAGGCAUAGGUCGCAGGCGGAGACCUGGCCUUAGGCGGUGGCGGUGGCGAGGAGGUGGCCGCACUGCCAGCUUCCAGGCGGCCCCGCCCUCCUCCUGGCAGCAGGCUUUCUGCCACCUCACGGAUGUGCCCUCCUGAAACCCAGGCCACGAAGGGGACACAGGAGGCUCGCUUUCGGGGGUUCAGCCCAUGCCUCCCGGGCCCUGGCUGUAUUUUCUCCUGUGCUAAUUUCACAGUGACGUGGCUCCUACUCCUGCUGAUUGAACAGUCUGCACUGACAGGGGCGAAGAUUUGCAGUGGAGCUUAUCACCGCCCCAGAGCAUGGGCGGGGUGGCUGGCGGGGGCGCCGGGGAGGCGGCUGUAUUUAUGGCAUGCUGGGAAGACAAACAUACGCAUUUAUAUGUCACUUGUUGCAAUAUAAAUGCUAACUUGUACUCCUUUCAAAACUUUUAAUGAAUUGUAUACAUUCCGAGAGAUUUAUAGGGUGAACGGAAUGGCUCAAAAUGUUACUUUUAACAUAUUUGUCACUUUGGCAACAGCGCCCAAAAAAAAAAAAAAAUCUGGAAGAUAUUGCAUUCAGAAAUAAAUCAUAAACAGGCGCAUCCUAAAAGAGGUUUAUUCGGGUCGUUAAUGGUUGAUGGGCCCCCCAGUGCAGGAUCUAAAGUUAAAUUAUGCAAAAUCAAAAACAAACCUUAUAAUACUUAAUCAGACAUGCAUAAAACUGGCAGGUCCAAUAAAUUCUCCCAAUUAACUUGCUUCAGAUUGUGAUUGCAUUCGCUAAUUUAAUCAGCCCCGGAAUAAUCUGGCAGCCGGGAGCUGAUGAGUGAGUGUGGGCCCGUGCCGUGGGAGGGGGCAGAGCGACGGGCAAGAGCACCUAGGUCAGGGCCACUGAGAAAGGUGCUGUUUUCCACAGGGGCAGCGAUUUCCCCACUUCCCCUCUCCCCAGGCGGGGCUGGCAGCCAGGCACUUGGCUCACAUCCCACCUGGGCAUGCUGUCCUGGGAAGCAGGCAGCGUCCACCUGGGUCAUCUGGAGGAUGGACCUGGACAUUGUCAUCUGGGAUGAAUCCCACGUAGGUUUUGCUCAGCUCCAGAUCCCUCGGCUCUCCUCAGCUGUGGACACCAGUCCCCUUCCAGAACGUGCUGGGGAUGGUUCUGUCCCCCCUGGAGCCUGCCCAUUCUGACCUCCGAUUCUCGAUUAAAGGAGGGUUUUGACGGCCACCUGGGUGGCUCAGUCAGUUAAGCAUCCGACUCUUGGUUUCAGCUCAAGUCCUGAUCUCAGAUUGGGGGAUUGAGCCCCAUGUCUGUGACCAGCUCAGAGUCUGCUUGAGAUUCUCUCUCCCUCUCCCCUGCCCCUCCCUCCUGCUCUCUCUCUCUAAAAUAAAUAAAUCUUUAGAAAUAAUAAAUGAGGGGCACCUGGGUGGCUCAGCAGUGGAGUGGCUGCCUUCCGCUCAGGUCAUGAUCCCGGAGUCCUGGGAUCGAGUCCCACAUCGGGCUCCUUGCAUGGAGCCUGCUUCUCCCUCUGCCUGUGUCUCUGCCUCUCUCUCUCUCUCUCUCUCUGUGUGUCUCUAAUGAAUAAAUAAAUAAAAUCUUAAAUGAAUGAAUGAGGGUUUUGACUCCAGUGUGCUUUAUCCUUCCUUUCCGGAGGGUGGGGCGGGCAGUGACCGGCACCAGGGCCUGCAGGGGGAGGCAGGUGUCUCAUCUCUGGGCCUAGGCCCCCGCUGAACUCACAGAGCUCACUCUGCUCUCCGCCAGGCAAAAUGUUUUAUUUCAUUUUAUUUUAUUGUCAAAACAGGGUUUACAUUGCACGCCUGAGUUUGCAUUCUGUGCUCCCCCCCAACAUGACCUUAUAUUGAACAUAUUUCUACACCAACGAACGCUCUUCAUAAUCCGGCAUGUAAGGGCCACGUGGCGUUUUGGUGCCCGAUGCUCCAUCAUCUACCACAUCAGUUCCUCUCUGGUCAGACAUGUGUGUUGGCGCCAAUUUUUUGUGAUUAUAGAUAAUCCUGUGAUGAACAUCCCGGUGUGUAAAUCUGAGUGCACACACAUGUUUCUCCUGGGUGGACGGCUGCUGCGGGCUGACCCUUCCAGGCUCCCUGUAGUGGCCGUGGUGGCCCCAUCCC